rnacentral:lncRNA from 1 species
ACUGGAUGCUGUCCUACUGCUGUUAGCAUGUUUUGUUACACUUUUGUCGUGGCGCGGGAGCCUGAGCGCGGAGCACGGGGAUCCAAUUACGACGGAGGUGAGGUGACGACGACAUCAUCCGCCAUCGCCGGAUUCCUCUUCUUCCUCCAAUCCUCCCCCACGCGGAACGCGUUCCCUGGACUGGAGGAGCGACGGGACGAUCCGAGUCACGAGUCCACGGAAUGGAAGCAACAAGCAACAGACUAAUGACAUCAUUUCUUUACUUGUGGUACGUCGAUCGAAUCCUUGCUUCCUUCAUCAACGCGUACUGUGUACUGUUCCAGCAGCUGGAGCUAGCUAGCUAGGAUGAGCGCCGUGUAUGAUGAUGAACAUUGAAAAAACCAUCAUCCUCCCCCAGUUCCAGCUAGAUUGAUCUCAUCUGAUCCGACCUGAUCCUCCGUUCGUGUAGAGACUGGGCCCCACGCCGAGAUUUUUUUGUAUAAAAAAACUAAUUGACUCCAUUAUCUACUGGCUUGCUUCUCUCUCUCAAGCAUCAGGAUAUAUAUGUCGCUUGAUGCUACAUUAGGAUUAUUUUGUCUAUAUAUAUAGGAUUUGCUAGAGUAAAUAAAUAAAAUUAUAAAAAACAAAGACGCAUGAGUCGCAUGGAGCAUUCUGCCACCGUGUUACUUUUUAUACAUGUGGUGUAUAUACCUGCGUGCAUGACCUCACUUAUACAGUAAUCAAGCCCUGUUCUUGAUCCGAAAAUCUCUCGCCAAGAAAGUCAAUUUGGCUGUCCAAAGGCGGCGGCUUCAUCCAGCUCUGCCACUGGAAGAAGCUAGCACAGCCGAGCAUGCCCAAAAAGAACUAAAAUAGAAUCAACAUUCUAAGUACAUCUGUCCCCAAGAUCAGCUAACGCAUGAGUUACUUUGUCACUUUCUCAUGGUUUGUAUUUCACCGUGUAAGCUACAAACUCCGAUGCUAACAACAUUUUUCCUUUCCAAACCAGACCGCCUGAACCAGAUAGAUCAAAUGUUGUGAAGUCAGGGACUCUUUAAUUUCACCAUCAGCACUGGAUGGUUUUGCUAUAUAUCUUGAUAUAUAUGGUAUGUCUACAUUCGUAGCUUUUACUAGAUAUAUAGUAUAUCUAAAAAAUUCAAAACAACUUAUAUUUUGGAAUGGGUGGAGUCACAUUAAUAAAACAAACAAAUUCACCGUGAAAUAUAUUUUCCCUCACGAGCUUAAUAUAUAAAACAUAGAUGGUCAACAAAAUGGAAGAUGAAGCUUAAUAUAUCUAGAGCUCAUCUGGUAGACUCUGGCGAGGAACACAAAAAUCCUCUACUACAUAAUUCAGGGAUCCAGACAAGGAAAAAAAGUUUCUAACAUUCUACUACCUAAUUCCAUAAACCAAAAAAAAAAUCAAUUCUAGCAAAGGAAUGAAAAUUAGUUUCUCUCUUCCGUACGUACCAUCCGGUUCGAUGGAAUGGAACAAAAUGAUUCCCUCUCUCUUAUAGCAAUCUGAAGCUUCACUUCCAUUUGACAUUUUCUUGCGUUCUUUCUGCAAUAUUCCUCUUGUAUUCCUCGUCACCUUCUCGUCUUCAUCUUUGCAG